UUACGGAAUGUAAGUAAAGUGAGAUAGUUAACAUUAUGACAUAACAACCUUAUAGUUAAGGGUCAUAUGAGCAUUGCAUCCUUAUAGUUAAGGAUUGGAUUGAACUUGGUAUCCUUAAAGUUAAGGAUUGAUCAUACUCGCCUAUAAGUCUUGGCUCGGAGGGUGGUAGCUCCCCCUCGAGCGAUGAGCUCCGGAGUGU
rnacentral:lncRNA from 1 species